CCUACGGGUGGCAGCAGUGAGGAAUAUUGGUCAAUGGACGAGAGUCUGAACCAGCCAAGUAGCGUGAAGGAUGACUGCCCUAUGGGUUGUAAACUUCUUUUAUAUGGGAAUAAAACGUUCCACGUGUGGGAUUUUGUAUGUACCAUAUGAAUAAGGAUCGGCUAACUCCGUGCCAGCAGCCGCGGUAAUACGGAGGAUCCGAGCGUUAUCCGGAGUUAUUGGGUUUAAAGGGAGCGUAGGUGGAUUGUUAAGUCAGUUGUGAAAGUUUGCGGCUCAACCGUAAAAUUGCAGGUGAAACUGGCAGUCUUGAGUACAGUAGAGGUGGGCGGAAUUCGUGGUGUAGCGGUGAAAUGCUUAGAUAUCACGAAGAACUCCGAUUGCGAAGGCAGUUCACUGGACUGCAACUGACACUGAGGCUCGAAAGUGUGGGUAUCAAACAGGAUUAGAUACCCUAGUAGUC
rnacentral:rRNA from 1 species